CUACUCAACGAGCGCUCUCCCACCCUCUCUCUCCCUCACUGCGAACGGAGAUCCGAGUUUAAAGCGGUAAAAAAAAUACUGCUAAUUUCAAAGCUCUUUCUCUCGAUAAAGAGAUGGAGAACUUCGCGGUGAUCUCAGCAGCGGUUCUCCUUCUCCUCUCGUGCCUUCUUCCAUCGACCCUCGCCGAUCCCGUGCGGUCUGGCAAUGGGAACACGAUUACAGGUCGCGUGAAGGUAGCCGUGGGUAUAUGUAGCUGAAGGUCUGAACUGUACCUUUUCCAGCAGGCACAGGUUCAAAAGAUUUUGGUCUUCUUGCAAAGAUCUCAAACAUUAAAGUCAUACUUAACGGUGGUCAAAGUGUUUUGUUUGUUAGAGCAGAUGGUUACUUCUCCUUGUAUCCUUCAUGCCUAAAAUUUGUUUUUCUAUAUUCACUGUUUGCAUGGUGAAUCCUAUGGCUGUAUAUCCACGAUUUUGUUAUCAUUAUAUGCUAUGUAAAAUAUGUUUUAAGGCAGUAUCAAGAAUCAGAAUAUGUAGUAUUGAAUGCUCAAAGAUUGUUCUUCAAGAUACACUACACUUCACGACAUGUUCAUACUUAUGGUAACCCCGAUUGAAAUUUUGAACCGGGCCCCAAAUUGUCAGCCACGUCUCCUCAUCUCUUCCGGCCGAGAACCACCUCACACUGUUCGAAGCUCGGUCGAGAACCAGACCCUAGCGAGCCAAACCCUAAUGUCGACAUUUGGGUAUCCAUUUCAUCAAUUGCAAUGGAAAAUGUAUCUUGCAAUCAAGCCAAUUUCUUUAGCGCCUGGACUUCUAGACAAGGUGGAGCUGGUGAUGAGGAUGAUGAUGAUGAUGAUGAUCAAGAGGACUGAUUCGUUUUUUUGCCUUUGAAAACAAUGAGCGUGUGCUGUAUAAACAAUAUUUAUCAUGGCAGCAAGAUGUACAAGAUUCUUAUACCCUCAUUAAGAUUUCCGAUCAACAGACCAUGAAACUCAAUUGAUUCACCCAAGAGGUAAAAUUUAUCCUUUUUUCUUGAGUUUAUAAGGGAAAAAACUCAUUUCUUGGUUUAGUAUGAUUAUUGGAAUCCAUUAAAUAAGUUUGAUUUUAUCGAUAAAUAGGUGCAGCUGCCGAAAAAGUAAGCCGGAAGGAAUACACUAGCUUUGGAGGUAUCCGAGCAGGCAUUGGGCUACUGAUGUGGUGGAAGUUGACGAGGAGCAUUGCUUGUUAAGGAGAUCGUUAAGGAUGAGAAUAAAUGCAAAUGGGUUGUUUUUGGGUGCGGAGGGCUUACUGUUGCGUUUGAAGUGUUUAGAAGAAGUGGUCAGCAUUGGCGAUCAAGUGAUUAUGGUUCAUGGGGUUCGGUCUGUUUCUUUUUUUGGCAGCUGAUGGUGGAGGCAAAGGGAACUGCGUUUAUUUUUCUACAGGAUUAAGGUUCAGGAAAGAUAAUGGACAAGCGCCAUGGAAGGUAUUUGAUUUAAGUACUGGGAGAAUGACAGAUUUUUCGCUUCCAAACGCUUCGCAGAUUGAGAAAUAUACUCUCAAACGGUUAUCCGUAUCAAGCUUACGUUAGUUCUGUGAGUCGAGGUUUGAGAUCUUUUCAUUUGGUCAGAGUUUUAGUUAGAUUCUCAUUUGGAGCAUGUAUUGGGUAAUUCAUUUUGAUUCUAUUCUUUUUUUAGAAAUUAGAUCUUUGAUGGAAGUUGUAUGGCAACACGCAUAUAGGUAGUCCUUAGUGACGCUGCUCUAAUUAGCUUCAUCGUAUUCUGAUUUCAUCUCUGAGUGUUAUCUUUACCUGUUACUUGGUGAGCUAGUUGGGGUGAAGGUAUGCAUUUGCGACGCGAGAGAUGGUUAUUACUAGAAUUGGUGUAAUGGUGUACCAAAUGUUGUAAUGCUUUUCUAGAUUGAUCAGGUCAUGUUUGUACUUUAUCUUUUUUGUGACUUCAACUACUACAAUUAUGUAAUCGUUUUUUUUUUUUAA